rnacentral:rRNA from 1 species
GUUGAACGCUGGCGGCAUGCCUUACACAUGCAAGUCGAACGGCAGCACGGGUGCUUGCACCUGGUGGCGAGUGGCGAACGGGUGAGUAAUACAUCGGAACAUGUCCUGUAGUGGGGGAUAGCCCGGCGAAAGCCGGAUUAAUACCGCAUACGAUCUACGGAUGAAAGCGGGGGACCUUCGGGCCUCGCGCUAUAGGGUUGGCCGAUGGCUGAUUAGCUAGUUGGUGGGGUAAAGGCCUACCAAGGCGACGAUCAGUAGCUGGUCUGAGAGGACGACCAGCCACACUGGGACUGAGACACGGCCCAGACUCCUACGGGAGGCAGCAGUGGGGAAUUUUGGACAAUGGGCGAAAGCCUGAUCCAGCAAUGCCGCGUGUGUGAAGAAGGCCUUCGGGUUGUAAAGCACUUUUGUCCGGAAAGAAAUCCUUGGCCCUAAUACGGUCGGGGGAUGACGGUACCGGAAGAAUAAGCGCCGGCUAACUACGUG